ACAAGUGAUAACGCUAGGUAUCUAGGCGUUAUCCUUGACCAGAAGCGGACCUUCUUCCCGCAUAUCAAGUCAAUAGAAGAGAAGGACUAUGAUCCUUUCUCCAGGCUACGAGGUUCUUUCGGUUCCGACUGGGGAAACGAUCACCUUACAGGUGGAAGCAUACGCAGACGACAUCGCGAUUGUCACAACGGCGUCAUCCCGUGCUGAUCUCAUUGCUCGAGCUGAGGAGACACUCCUGCUCACCCAUAAUUGGGGCGUAACUAUUGAAUAUAAUUAAUAUUGUUUAUUUGGGUCAUGGAAUAUAAGUAAUAAAUAUUAUAUAACCUUAUAUGGUAUUAUAUGUGUACACUGAAGAAAUCAUGAGUAAUAUUUAAGUUGUUUUAUACAAGGACCAAUUACAUCUGUAACCUAGAUUAUAUCAUAUAUAAGACAUAGUAUUAAGGUGUUGGAUUGACUAUUCUAUUACGGCUGCUGUUAUAAUUGUAACGUACGUUGUAUACAUAUAUUAUUCUCUAUACUGUGUGUGUUUUUUAUGUUUAAUAGUAUUGUGUUCAAACAUAUUGUUGCGUUUUAUUUUCUACUUAAAUACUACCUUCCACCAAGAUAUACAGGCGUAUAUCGCAAUAAAUUUUAAUUUUGCUGGGCAAUAUGUUGUUGAUUUUGCCGUUUGAGCGCUAAUAAUCAGGUCUGAUUGGAAAACAGGCAAUUGACCAAACAAAACCCAUUGUUGUAAAACCAAAAUCAUCUCAGCUUUGCAUCAGCUAAAAAUUUAGUACAUACAACAAGCUGUCCCGUCCCGGCGUUGCCCGUGUAUUAGAAUAGACACACAGUCAGCUGUUCGGAUCACUGUAUCCCUGUGCAAAUCAAAUUCUGAAUCUAAACCUUUCUCGAAUCAACUUAAUCGCGGACACAACAUUUCAUAAACAUCUGUCCAGCCGUUUAGUAGGAGUUUGCAUACUUACACACGGACAGAAGAAAUGUACAUAUAAAAGAAGAUUAGUGGACUUUAAGAAGAAUU